rnacentral:rRNA from 1 species
UACGAAGGGGGGCUAGCGUUGCUCGGAAUUACUGGGCGUAAAGCGUGCGCAGGCGGUUUUGUAAGCCAGAUGUGAAAUCCCCGGGCUUAACCUGGGAAUGGCAUUUGGGACUGCAAGGCUCGAGUGCGGCAGAGGAGACUGGAAUUCCGGGUGUAGCGGUGGAAUGCGUAGAGAUCCGGAAGAACACCGGUGGCGAAGGCGGCCUGCUGGGCAGUUGCUGACACUGAGGCGCGACAGCGUGGGGAGCAAACAGG